UGAAGCUAGGACUGCUGCAUAGUCACAUGCCAAGAGGCGACAAGGAAAGAGGAAACUUGUGAUAAAAUUUAUCGAUUAUAGACUUUUUUUGUUGUUGUUACAUUCUAGCCUACAAGUUUGCUGUAGGUUGUAAAUGUUUUAUCAUAGUUUUUUUGUGUAAUAAGCGCGUGCUUGCAUUUUGGAUGGCAACAUUGUCGUAUGAUAUUACCACUGCAACAUAGCCUUGUUGUAGAUAGGCUAAGUCGUUCUAAACUCCAAAGUCGAAGAAGGAAACAUCAUAAAUGUUAGUAGCCUAUUUUCUUUAGUAAUAUUAUGUUGUUUUGCCAAUGUUUUCCGCGUGAAACAUUACUCUGCGGGUUGAUCUUGCAACGUGCUAAACGAGCAGUUAAAAUCAUGUCAACUCAGGACGCCUCACAACACGAUUUUAACCAGAAGCGAUUGAUAGCCAACAAUAGCGGAUCAUUACAGAUUCAUACAACUAAAGCUGAACUAACUGAAGACUCGGAUACCGGUGUCAAGACGAGCAACGACAUGCAAGAAACAAACAGAACAACUGAAAAACAGUUCACAGAGGACGAACUUGCCAUACAUAAAUUACACAGAGAAGCAUGUGAGGCUAAGAGGCAGAUGUACAUGGACCCAGGCAGCGGCUACAAGGUGUUCACAGAGUUUGCCCACCGCCAGAGAGGAAAGUGCUGCGGCAACGCCUGUAGACAUUGUCCAUUUGGCCAAGUCAAUGUGAAAGACCCAGCCAACAAGAAACAUUUUAACUCUAUGUAUUAUGUAUAAUACACCAAACACACUCUGGUUUAGUGUACAAGGCAUGAUAUAGUCUGUGUGCUGUGUUGUUAUUUUGGACUGUUUCAAUGGUGUGUUUUCUUUUUCAGCACCACGAUAAAUGAUGAAAUUUAGAGUGGUGUGUGUGCAAUCCUCUCCUGCUAUGAAUUCUAUGUGUGAUUUUAGUCUCUACAGUAGGACACUGGAAAGGGGGUAGGUCUCUGGAGUCUAAAUUUGUUUUUUGAAUUUUACCCUGUCAAUUAUUUUUUAUAUCAUUUUUCCUCAAAGAUACAAUGAAAAUAUAUAUAUUUUUUUAACCUUGAUUGAUGACUUGACAUGUAUUGUUGGUAUGUGAUUGAAUGUCUGAGAUGGUGAUGUUACUAUAUAGAUUUUCAGAGGGAGUGUAUGAGAUGUACAUCCAUCUCUCUACUGAAUGUCUGAGAUGGUGAUGUUACUAUAUAGAUUUUCAGAGGGAGUGUAUGAGAUAAACAUCCAUCUCUCUACUGAAUGUCUGAGAUGGUGAUGUUACUAUAUAGAUUUUCAGAGGGAGUGUAUGAGAUAAACAUCCAUCUCUCUACUGAAUGUCUGAGAUGGUGAUGUUACUAUAUAGAUUUUCAGAGGGAGUGUAUGAGAUAAACAUCCAUCUCUCUACUGAAUGUCUGCGAUGGUGAUGUUACUAUAUAGAUUUUCAGAGGGAGUGUAUGAGAUGAACAUCCAUCUCUCUACUGAAUGUCUGCGAUGGUGAUGUUACUAUAUAGAUUUUCAGAGGGAGUGUAUGAGAUAAACAUCCAUCUCUCUACUGAAUGUCUGAGAUGGUGAUGUUACUAUAUAGAUUUUCAGAGGGAGUGUAUGAGAUAAACAUCCAUCUCUCUACUGAAUGUCUGCGAUGGUGAUGUUACUAUAUAGAUUUUCAGAGGGAGUGUAUGAGAUGAACAUCCAUCUCUCUACUGAAUGUCUGAGAUGGUGAUGUUACUAUAUAGAUUUUCAGAGGGAGUGUAUGAGAUGAACAUCCAUCUCUCUACUGAAUGUCUGAGAUGGUGAUGUUACUAUAUAGAUUUUCAGAGGGAGUGUAUGAGAUAAACAUCCAUCUCUCUACUGAAUGUCUGCGAUGGUGAUGUUACUAUAUAGAUUUUCAGAGGGAGUGUAUGAGAUAAACAUCCAUCUCUCUACUGAAUGUCUGCGAUGGUGAUGUUACUAUAUAGAUUUUCAGAGGGAGUGUAUGAGAUGAACAUCCAUCUCUCUACUGAAUGUCUGAGAUGGUGAUGUUACUAUAUAGAUUUUCAGAGGGAGUGUAUGAGAUAAACAUCCAUCUCUCUACUGAAUGUCUGCGAUGGUGAUGUUACUAUAUAGAUUUUCAGAGGGAGUGUAUGAGAUGAACAUCCAUCUCUCUACUGUCCCUUUACCCUCCAAAUGUACACAUAUGCACAUUUUUGAAACAUUUAAAACACAAAACAUGUGAGUUGUCUGCCUCCAACGGAAAGGGAUGUGCAAUUUAAAUAGUCACCAGGUCAAGGUUCAUCUCUCAGCUCGCUGGUUGAACGUCAGCUGAUGGAGUCAACCUGUUCACAUACAAACAGUGGACAUCAACAGGCUCACUCCCUGCUGUAUUUCCCAAGGAGCCUUCUGGCAACGCAGGGCUUCUCCAUGUCUCCCUGCAGCUGCUCCCCUGACACACAGCCCUAAUGAACACUGGGGCUCUCACUAGCCCUGCAACACUGGGUGGCAGACCAUCCCGCACCAACACACACACAGGCAUGGGGACACACACAAAUACACAGACGUGGACACAAAAAUACACAGACUUAGACAGACACACAAAAUGGCAAUGAAGGUCGCCUCUAAAAUCUGACUAGAUAUUGUACAAGACACUGCACAGAGUAGUCCUAAAGCCAGACCGAGCUGAAGAUAACCUUCCAUCAGAGUACUGUGUGUGUGUUAAACCAGAGCAGUUUUAAUCUGUGUGACUUGUCACUAGACACAGAAGUCAAUUCGAUGUCUAUUCUACGUUGGUUCAACGUCAUUUCCAUAAAAUGACUUGGAAACCAUGUUGAUUCAACCAGUGUGUGCCCCAGUGGGUUGUGGGUAGGGGCACUGGCUCCAAACCUGCCACACACUCUCCUGUAUCCAUUUGAUCGGGCAAACGGUGUCAGGAUGAGUGAGUGUGUGUGCCGCGGAAUGCUUUCGCAGCCGUCUACUGGCCCGGACAGGUGGGUCCCAAAGGCAAAGUGCUUAGUGAUCAGGAGCAAACCCCAGCGAGCGGCUACAAGGAAAUUCAUGAUCCCAACAGGGCUGAGCAGGACAGGUUCACCGCGACGCGUCGUCAGCCUGGAUGAGAGGCAAAUUUAUUUGGGCGACGGUUGUGAAGCGAGGCAGCAGAGCGUAGCGGCAACAACACUUCGUUCGCCAUUCCGGGUAGAAGGUGUCACAGUCAUCAAGUACCUGGGCCCGCCUGCCUGCCUGCCGCAGGUCUGGGAGUUUUGCCUAGGGACUUGUCUGUCACAUUACGCUAGAUGCAUUGCCAUUCCAGGGCCUGUGCGCUCCUGCAGCCUGACCAUGAAAUAGGCCAACUUUCAUGUCUGCCUCAUCUCUCUCCGUCGCCUCACUCCACUGAUGACACAGUUGGAAAGGUAUUUUUUCUUCUGUGCUACUGAGACACAGCAGCACAGCUCUCAGUCAGUCCCUCCGCAGCGCUAGCUAGACAUAUAUCUGGGAAACUCAUGGUAGCCAGAAGCAGGAAACUGGAAAUGUCCCCCACUCUCUCCAGGCUUGUCAUGUUGUCAGGCCCUUUUCAUGACAUACAGGGCUAUAUUCUCUUCUGGAUUUUCUAUUUCUUUACCUUUUGAUAUUGAAUACUGCCUCGUUGAGGGAAAGCAUUUCCCUCUACUGUUUAUAACUGUUGUGACAAAUAACCUUUGUUUUGAUAUAUUUGUGCAUUCUGGAAUUCUUUAGAAUAUCUCAGGGAAUGUUUUCAAUAUUUUAACCUGUAUUUAAUGUUAUUGUCCUGUGCAAUAAUUAUUAGUAUUGCAUGUAUGUGUAAACAUAGAAAAGAGUGCGAUUGAACUAUUUUGUAAUUGAAUAAAUGAUGUAUUUAAGUAG